rnacentral:pre_miRNA from 8 species
UUUACUAAUACCCAUCUGGUGCAUUCUGGGAACAUUCAACGCUGUCGGUGAGUUUGGAUGCAUAAUAAACCAUCGACCGUUGGCUGUGCCCUGAGAUUACCACAUACUUCGCGCAUCAAC